rnacentral:ncRNA from 1 species
GAAAGCUGUGUGCAAUGAAAAAUGCAAGCACGGUUUGGGGAGGGGUUUUUUACCUUUUUUUUUUUCAUUUUCACAAGGAAAUUAUCUACUCCAU